rnacentral:rRNA from 1 species
GUAGGUGGCAAGCGUUGUCCGGAAUUAUUGGGCGUAAAGCGCGCGCAGGUGGUUCUUUAAGUCUGAUGUGAAAGCCCCCGGCUCAACCGGGGAGGGUCAUUGGAAACUGGGGAACUUGAGUGCAGGAGAGGAAAGUGGAAUUCCACGUGUAGCGGUGAAAUGCGUAGAUAUGUGGAGGAACACCAGUGGCGAAGGCGACUUUCCGGCCUGUAACUGACACUGAGGCGCGAAAGCGUGGGGAGCAAACAGGGAUUAGAUACCCUGGUAGUCCACGCCGUAAACGAUGAGUGCUAAGUGUUGGGGGGGUUUCCCGCCCCUCAGUGCUGCAGCUAACGCAUUAGGCACUCCGCCUGGGGAUACGGUCGCAAGACUG